UGAGAAACCCGAAAGAUCGAACGGAGAGAUUCAAUGCGUUCAUGUGUCGAACUUUGACGAAUUUGCGUAUAUGGCGGCAUUCGUGUUUGCCAAAACCUUUCGUUAAAGCGUUCGAUUUUGACGUGUGCACUUCUCUCCCGGUAGAACGUCGCGACCCGUUGGGUGUCGGUCUAAGGCUCGCGGUGGAGCCCGUAAACGCGGUUUACCGUUGUUUGCGGACCCGCGAUGUCCCGGCCGACUCGCUCGACGGUUUACAGAAGGCGCAAGGCCGCGAUUUUAAUUCGCGUUCGGCUCGUAACAAGCGCGUUCGUAGCGUCGACGAUAGGACUUGGCGCCAAUCCCGACCACGAACAGUUGUUAGUUGCGAUGUUCUCGAACAGACCUUGUAGAAUCGCCGAUCUGCGACGCUAUAGCUUUGGGUAAUUUCAGGGCCCGUCUUGAAACACGGACCAAGGAGUCCAGCAUGUGCGCAAGUCAUUGGGAUAUUAUAAACCCGAAGGCGAAAUGAAAGUGAAGGUUAACUUUGCGUUGACCGAGGGAAGAUGGGCGAUUGUUUUGAUAAUCGCCCCGCACUCCCGGGGCGUCUUGUUUUCUUUUUGAAAAGAGACGCACCUAGAGCGUACACGCUGGGACCCGAAAGAUGGUGAACUAUGCCUGGUCAGGACGAAGUCAGGGGAAACCCUGAUGGAGGUCCGUAGCGAUUCUGACGUGCAAAUCGAUCGUCGGAACUGGGUAUAGGGGCGAAAGACUAAUCGAACCAUCUAGUAGCUGGUUCCCUCCGAAGUUUCCCUCAGGAUAGCUGGCGUUCGUAACGAGUCUCAUCCGGUAAAGCGAAUGAUUAGAGGCAUUGGGGUCGAAACGACCUCAACCUAUUCUCAAACUUUAAAUGGGUGAGAUCUCCGGCUUGCUUAAACGUGAAGCCGCGAGAUAAGGAUCAGAGUGCCAAGUGGGCCAUUUUUGGUAAGCAGAACUGGCGCUGUGGGAUGAACCAAACGCCGAGUUAAAGCGCCUAAAUCGACGCUUAUGGGAUACCAUGAAAGGCGUUGGUAACUUAAGACAGCAGGACGGUGGCCAUGGAAGUCGGAAUCCGCUAAGGAGUGUGUAACAACUCACCUGCCGAAGUUACUAGCCCUGAAAAUGGAUGGCGCUGAAGCGUCGUGCUUAUACUCGGCCGUCAGCGGCAAGUGCGGUCUUCUAUUAAUAGAAGGCCAUGAAGCUCUGACGAGUAGGAGGGUCGCGGCGGUGCGCGCAGAAGGGUUGGUCGUGGGACCAUCUGGAGCCGCCGUCGGUGCAGAUCUUGGUGGUAGUAGCAAAUACUCCAGCGAGACCCUGGAGGACUGAUGUGGAGAAGGGUUUCGUGUGAACAGCUGUUGCACACGAGUCAGUCGAUCCUAAGCACUAGGCGAAAGCCGAUGUUAAUGAGGUGUAAUUUUAUGUAUUGAGUUUGUAACACACCCAUAGUGCGAAAGGGAAUCCGGUUCAUAUUCCGGAACCCGGCAGCGGAACCGUAAACCUUCGGGCCCUCUUUGAGUGUUCGUCGGGGUAACCCAAAAGAACCCGGAGACGCCGUCGGGAGAUCCGGGAAGAGUUUUCUUUUCUGCAUGAGCGUUCGAGUUCCAUGGAAUCCUCUAGCAGGGAGAUAUGGUUUGGAACGCGAAGAGCACCGCAGUUGCGGCGGUGUCCGGAUCUUCCCCUCGGACCUUGAAAAUCCGGGAAAGGGCCACGUGGAGGAGUCGCGCCGGCUCGUACCCAUAUCCGCAG
rnacentral:rRNA from 1 species